rnacentral:ribozyme from 13 species
UUCUUUUUCACCUCUUUCUUUUCUUUUUCUUUAUUCAUAUCUUUCUCUUCAAGUUUUAUUCGGGGAGAAGAAAGAUAAGAAGGAUCAGGGGGUGUUGAAGAAGA